rnacentral:lncRNA from 1 species
AAAAAAAUACGCGCAAUUUUGUGAAUGAAAGGUGAAAGUAGAUCCUUACGCAUUGCAUUCGCGCAUGUCAUUUGCGUACUAACCCAAUAAUUUUCAUAUCACGGCCAGUCCACUGAUACUGACAUUAUCAGCGAGUACACAUCAAUGGAAAAAUGUACAAAUUACCGAUAAAAUUAAAUAUAAACAUACCUAUCCACAUGGAAAUGAUUUUUCUCUUGUUUGGCUUGUCUGUAACAACAGGAAUUGCUGUGUUUUUCUUUUUGAUUUUUAUGUCAGAUUCAACACUUUCAAAUUUACGCAUUUUGUUAUCCUUUUUGGAAUACCUCUCCUUCCUCUCUUCAUUAAAUAGCAUUUCUUGUAUGUCAUAAAGGGCAUACAAACCGAUUAAUGGAGUGGAAAACGUUAACAUGUAGUUCCACCCCUUGUGGAUCAUUUUCGAGAUAUAUGACAUUACUUGCUCCUGAAACU